UACGUAGGGGGCAAGCGUUGUCCGGAAUUACUGGGCGUAAAGCGUGCGCAGCGGCUUUGCAAGACAGAUGUGAAAUCCCCGGGCUUAACCUGGGAACUGCAUUUGUGACUGCAUGGCUGGAGUGCGGCAGAGGGGGAUGGAAUUCCGCGUGUAGCGGUGAAAUGCGCAGAUAUCAGGAGGAACACCGGUGGCGAAGGCGGUUCUCUGGGUCGUACCUGACGCUGAGGCGCGAAAGCGUGGGGAGCGAACGGG
rnacentral:rRNA from 1 species